ACAUGCUUACAACAUAGCGUUAAUGCACUGGAUCCCAUUAGAACUCCACAGUUAAGCGCACUUGAGCUAGAGUAGUAUUGGGAUGGGUGACCACCCUAGAAGUCUUAUUAUUUUACAUUCC
rnacentral:rRNA from 1 species